rnacentral:rRNA from 1 species
AGCGAACGCUGGCGGCAGGCCUAACACAUGCGAGUCGAACGAACCUUUCGGGGUUAGUGGCGGACGGGUGAGUAACACGUGGGAACGUGCCUUUAGGUUCGGAAUAACUCAGGGAAACUUGUGCUAAUACCGAAUGUGCCCUUCGGGGGAAAGAUUUAUCGCCUUUAGAGCGGCCCGCGUCUGAUUAGCUAGUUGGUUGAGGUAAUGGCUCACCAAGGCGACGAUCAGUAGCUGGUCUGAGAGGAUGAUCCGCCACAUUGGGACUGAGACACGGCCCAAACUCCUACGGGAGGCAGCAGUGGGGAAUCUUGCGCAAUGGGCGAAAGCCUGACGCAGCCAUGCCGCGUGAAUGAUGAAGAUCUUAGGAUUGUAAAAUUCUUUCACCGGGGACGAUAAUGACGGUACCCGGAGAAGAAGCCCCGGCUAACUUCGUG